rnacentral:lncRNA from 1 species
AGGACAAUGGCUCCAGUAGGGAUGGUUAACAUGCUGGGUUGGUGUUCAUCCACAGAGGUCGGCAUCAUCUCCCUCGUAGCCUUCUUCAUUCUAAGCAUCACGCUCCUCGCGCUUUGCGCCAAGUGUCACAGGAGCAGCAGCAACGCCUAUGAUGUGAGCGGAACAACAACGACUAAAGGAGCAGGAGGAGCCAAUGGGACUACUGGUACGAAGACAGGAGGAACCAAUGAAUCAGAGGUUGCAAGCUACUCAUCAUGGAGAAACCACAAUGACAUGCCUCCCAGCACACUACAGAGGUCCUAAAGCACUGUCCCCACAGUCAGCAGAUGCUCCCGGUCUAAAGGCAAAGAAGCAGGAAGGGAGGACAUGUAACGCUCAACAACAGAAACACACAGACUUCCACACUUGACACUAUCCCAAAUGGACAGAUGGAUGGAAAAAGAGAGUAAGGGUAGGAGGGAGAGUCGGCCUUGUCCUCAGCCAGCUUGAGCUACCAUCCCCACCUUGUCUCAUCACAGCAGGCCUCUAAUUUAUCAAACAAGCAACAAAACUGUCUACAUUUAUUAUUCUAUCAUAACUCCACUGGUUGAUUUAACUGUAAGUAAUCUACAGACUCAUUCCAACUUUAAAAUCUGCUGCUUCAGCAUUUCGACUCAUCUCUGACUGCUGCUUCUCAUGGUGAUGGUUAAAAGUUAGGACAAGCCUCUCAGUUCAGUCUCCACAUUCAUUUAGACCCAUCAGGAAAUCACUGCUUUACAGUUUGCCUGUUAAUUUUGAAACGUAUGCUUUCUUGUUGAGCAUUAGACAAAGAGAUCAAUACCACUCUUUUCCGUCAAUGAAAUGCUGUUUUUCUUGGCCAGUGAGCCAGAAAACAUUUACAGUGGUGUAAUUAUUUAUUAGGCCUGUUCAGUAACUUCCUGCUGUGACAGGUUUACAAUCAUAUUUAUAAGACUGCACCGGACACUUUUACUUGUAAAGCAAUGUUUAAAGGGUUAAUUUUUUUUAACCUUGGCAAAGAGCUGGACGUAUCAAUUCUCUUUCCAGUCAUUAGCCAUGCUAAGCUAACCAGCUGCUGAUUGUGGCUUAAUAAACAGAUAAGACUGGUGUUGAUAUCCGCA